AUUGAACGCUGGCGGCAGGCCUAACACAUGCAAGUCGAACGGUAACAGGAAGCAGCUUGCUGCUUUGCUGACGAGUGGCGGACGGGUGAGUAAUGUCUGGGAAACUGCCUGAUGGAGGGGGAUAACUACUGGAAACGGUAGCUAAUACCGCAUAACGUCGCAAGACCAAAGAGGGGGACCUUCGGGCCUCUUGCCAUCGGAUGUGCCCAGAUGGGAUUAGCUAGUAGGUGGGGUAACGGCUCACCUAGGCGACGAUCCCUAGCUGGUCUGAGAGGAUGACCAGCCACACUGGAACUGAGACACGGUCCAGACUCCUACGGGAGGCAGCAGUGGGGAAUAUUGCACAAUGGGCGCAAGCCUGAUGCAGCCAUGCCGCGUGUAUGAAGAAGGCCUUCGGGUUGUAAAGUACUUUCAGCGGGGAGGAAGGGAGUAAAGUUAAUACCUUUGCUCAUUGACGUUACCCGCAGAAGAAGCACCGGCUAACUCUGUG
rnacentral:rRNA from 1 species